CGUACACUCCUGCGGGAGGCAGCAGUGGGGAAUUUUGGACAAUGGGCGAAAGCCUGAUCCAGCCAUGCCGCGUGCAGGAUGAAGGCCUUCGGGUUGUAAACUGCUUUUGUACGGAACGAAACGGCCUUUUCUAAUAAAGAGGGCUAAUGACGGUACCGUAAGAAUAAGCACCGGCUAACUACGUGCCAGCAGCCGCGGUAAUACGUAGGGUGCAAGCGUUAAUCGGAAUUACUGGGCGUAAAGCGUGCGCAGGCGGUUAUGUAAGACAGUUGUGAAAUCCCCGGGCUCAACCUGGGAACUGCAUCUGUGACUGCAUAGCUAGAGUACGGUAGAGGGGGAUGGAAUUCCGCGUGUAGCAGUGAAAUGCGUAGAUAUGCGGAGGAACACCGAUGGCGAAGGCAAUCCCCUGGACCUGUACUGACGCUCAUGCACGAAAGCGUGGGGAGCAAACAGGAUUAGAAAACCCUUGUAGUCCC
rnacentral:rRNA from 1 species